rnacentral:rRNA from 1 species
GACGAACGCUGGCGGCGUGCUUAACACAUGCAAGUCGAGCGGGGACAGCAGAAGUGCUUGCACUUCUACUGUUCUAGCGGCGGACGGGUGAGUAACGCGUGAGCAAUCUGUCCCAGACAGGGGGAUAACACUUGGAAACAGGUGCUAAUACCGCAUAAGACCACGUCCUCGCAUGGGGAUGAGGUAAAAGGAGAAAUCCGGUUUGGGGUGAGCUCGCGUCUGAUUAGCUAGUUGGUGAGGUAACGGCUCACCAAGGCGACGAUCAGUAGCCGGACUGAGAGGUUGAACGGCCACAUUGGGACUGAGAUACGGCCCAGACUCCUACGGGAGGCAGCAGUGGGGAAUAUUGGGCAAUGGGGGCAACCCUGACCCAGCAACGCCGCGUGAAGGAAGAAGGCCUUCGGGUUGUAAACUUCUUUGACCAGGGAAGAAGAAAGUGACGGUACCUGGAAAACAAGCCACGGCUAACUACGUGCCAGCAGCCGCGGUAAUACGUAGGUGGCAAGCGUUAUCCGGAUUUACUGGGUGUAAAGGGCGCGUAGGCGGGUAUGCAAGUCAGAUGUGAAAUGUACAGGCUCAACCUGUGAACUGCAUUUGAAACUGAGAUUCUUGAGUGAAGUAGAGGCAAGCGGAAUUCCUAGUGUAGCGGUGGAAUGCGUAGAUAUUAGGAGGAACACCAGUGGCGAAGGCGGCUUGCUGGGCUUUUACUGACGCUGAGGCUCGAAAGCGUGGGGAGCAAACAGGAUUAGAUACCCUGGUAGUCCACGCCGUAAACGAUGAUUACUAGGUGUGGGGGGACUGACCCCUUCCGUGCCGCAGUUAACACAAUAAGUAAUCCACCUGGGGAGUACGACCGCAAGGUUG